AGCCUAAUAAAACAUAUAGAUAUGGAUGUUGUUUCCGGCCUCUCACGCCGGAAACAGGGGUUCGAUUCCCCUUGGGGCUA
rnacentral:tRNA from 1 species